UACGAAGGGUGCAAGCGUUACUCGGAAUUACUGGGCGUAAAGCGUGCGCAGGCGGUUCGUUGUGUCCGAUGUGAAAGCCCCGGGCUUAACCUGGGAAUGGCAUUGGAAACUGGCGAGCUUGAGUGCGGCAGAGGGGGGUGGAAUUCCGCGUGUAGCAGUGAAAUGCGUAGAGAUGCGGAGGAACACCGAUGGCGAAGGCAGCCCCCUGGGUCGACACUGACGCUCAUGCACGAAAGCGUGGGGAGCAAACAGG
rnacentral:rRNA from 1 species